GGAUUUUCACCCUCGGCCUUCGUUGCCGGAAGGGUUGUUUCACUCUUCUUUUCAGGAUUUUUGCUGCCGGAUUUUGAUUCCGGCUUCACGCCUACUGAACCAGCUCCUGCUUCCUACAGUUACACAGAGACCAAUAUGGGCAGGUAAGCUUAGUAACCUACCAUUUAAUUCCUCCUUUAGAUAAUGUAAAAGGCAGGUAGCUAAGUAUAAACACCUUCAAUGUUUCGGAUUGUGCUUCCCGUUUUAGUGUCUCUUUACCAGUGGACUUCCCUUCCUGGAAUAUACUCAAUCCAUGCGACAAACUGCAUCAAAAUGACCAAAUCAAAAAAUGCAACGUUAAUGGUAACAAAAACUGAGCAUGAGAAACUAAUCUGACCUCUUUGAUGGUAUCACGAG
rnacentral:lncRNA from 1 species